UGAUAACUCAGUGGCAGAGCAUCUGCUUUGCAUACAGAAGGUCCCAAGUUCAAUCCCUGGUAUCUCAG
rnacentral:tRNA from 1 species